UAGGGAAUCUUCCACAAUGGGCGCAAGCCUGAUGGAGCGACACCGCGUGAGUGAAGAAGGGUUUCGGCUCGUAAAGCUCUGUUGUUAAAGAAGAACACGUAUGAGAGUAACUGUUCAUACGUUGACGGUAUUUAACCAGAAAGUCACGGCUAACUACGUGCCAG
rnacentral:rRNA from 1 species